rnacentral:lncRNA from 1 species
GAACCUUUUCUUCUUCCCUGACAGCAAAAAAAGCAGGCAACAACUGCAACGUUGCCUUGACUUCUUCCACUUGGAGAAGGUAGAUUGGCAGAUGGAUGCAGGGGCGGAGGAAGAGGGUGUGGCGGGGGCGGGUCACCCUGGGUGUCACCACUGAGGGGGGUGACAAAAUGCCAGGCGGCAUUCACUGCCGGGCCUGCAGCAUGCCUGUGCCACGCAUUUCUCCUGGGAGUGACACGGUGGCUUGGGCGCCCGCAGGCUCUGCGCUGCCCCAAAUGGUCCGCCCACUGCCUCCCCCUCAGCUGUAGGGUGGCUGAGUGGGAGGAGGCAGGCAGACUCCUCGGAGGCCCCACGGAGCAUCCUGCCCUGGCUGGCCCCACCCUGCGGGCAGCUGGCCCCACCCCCACAGGUGGCUGGGUACGCCCCUGGGCACGCACGCCGCACCAGGCACCCAAUCAGCUUGCUCUGCCGCUGGAUAAAGGUAAAGGUAAAGGUAAAGGUACCCCUGCCCGUACGGGCCAGUCUUGACAGACUCUAGGGUUGUGUGCCCAUCUCACUCAAGAGGCCGGGGGCCAGCGCUGUCCGGAGACACUUCCGGGUCACGUGGCCAGCGUGACAAAGCCGCAUCUGGCGAGCCACUGCAGCACACAGAAACGCCGUUUACCUUCCCGCUAGUAAGCGGUCCCUAUUUAUCUACUUGCACCCGGGGGUGCUUUUGAACUGCUAGGUUGGCAGGCGCUGGGACCGAGCAACGGGAGCGCACCCCGCCGCGGGGAUUCAAACCGCCGACCUUUCGAUCGGCAAGCCCUAGGCGCUGAGGCUUUUACCCACAGCGCUACCCGUAUCCACCUGCCGCUGGAUGGAGGCAAUCUUCUGGCUAGGGGAUGCUAUAAUUCAGGGUGGUCCAACCUCUUAUACCAAGUGGGCUGCAAGAGUACUUCUACAUGGAAUGUGUGGACCACACCCUUCCUUGUCACACGGAAGGAGGGGAGUGUGGCCAAAAUAUAACCCCUGCCCCAGCCCUCACACUGCCUUUCCAAAGCCAGAUGAAGCACUGGGCUUUGGCAAGGCAGUGCGAGGUUCUGGCAGGGUCCUAGAAUUUCAGCAAUGUCUAGGAACAUGAUGACCAUGUACAUACGCAAUAGACAAUUGUUUAUAGAAUUCCUUCAAACCAUAACAAGUCCAAAAUGAAAUCUUUAGUCUCUGAAAAUCUUUAAAUGAAGCGAGGUAAAUGAGCAGUGACUACAUUAUUACAUGAGCACUUUUCCACAGCAUUUGAUAUUUUCAUUUACAUACAUUCAUUUGAAAUAAGAUGGGUUUAUGAAGCAAUUCUAUACAUCCUCCCACCACGCUGACGAAGAAUUCUACGAAACAGCAGUCAAUAUCCGGAAUCACUGUUCAGUGUUGGACAUCAUAUAUGUUGAAUACACAAAGCUUCACAGCUUGUUUUUCAUCAUACAAAGUCUGGUACCUCGCUUCAUUUAAAGAUUUUCAGAGACUUUGAGACUAAAGAUUUCAUUUUGGACUUGUUAUGGUUUGAAGGAAUUCUAUAAAAGAUUGUCUAAUGUGUAUGUAGAUGGUCAUUGUGUUGCCUAGACAUUGCUGAAGUUCUCUUUGCAACACAGGGGUUUGUUAGGGUCCUAGAAUUGGCAGGGUCCUAGAACCCACCCACCUCCUUCCCAAAGCUGGGAAAGCACUCACUAGGCUUUAGGAAGGAGGAUGGAGGACUCUGAGACCCUGUCAGAGCCCUCACGCUUCCUUCCCAAAGCCCAGUGCCUCUAUUAUCUGGAUUGAGGAAGGCAGCACAAGGGCAGGGGUGGUGGCAUCAACUGUUGCUGAGGGCUGCCCAAAAAGGCCUUGGGGGCCCGCAUGUGGCCCUUGGUCCGCACACUGGACAACAUUGCUAUAGAGUGAUAAUAAGUCAAGUUGACUCGCUGAGUGGGAUCAUAGCUUGAAGGCUAUCCAUGGUUGAAAGCUGGCUGGUGUCUAGUAUGUAUAGUGGAGAUCGGGCCUAACUUUGGCUCAUUCAUUUCAAUGGGUCUUCUCUGAGUAGAGCUUAGUUGGCUACAAUCCACCCCACCCUCGGCCAUUGUAUCCUCACAACAGUCCUCUGAAGUAGACUCACCUGAGAGGUAGUGACCGACUCCAUGAUAACAAUGCACAAAGUUUCCUUAAAAAAACAAUCAAACGGUAUUUUGCAAUAUUUAUUUAUUUAGAAAACAUAUAAACCGCUUGCUCAAAAAUUAAUUUUCCGAGUACAAUUAUAUAUAUAUAUAAACCUAACCCAAACCCACAAACUAAUGAAAAACAAAUAUACAUAAAACCCUCAUUUUUUAAAACAAGCAAAUGAAAAUUUAAAACAAAUGCAACUAGAUCAUGUGUCCAGACAGGCUUGAUGGAAGAGAAAAGGUUUUUGGCAGGCUUCCAAAGCAGUUUAGUGAAGGUGUCUGCCUAAUCUCCGCAGGCAAUGAGUUCUCAGAGCACAGGUGCUGCCGCCCUAAAGGAACUACUUCUCGCAAAUGUAGACAAAUAAAAGGUUUGUCUACAUAAAUAUAUUCCUAAAGGCUUCCUGCUCUCUUCUCAUUUGGGCUGAGAGUCACAUCCCCUUCGCCCCCCAACCCAAUGGAUUCAGCGCCUCUGAUCUGCUCCCAGGUGUUGUACCUUGACUGUUUAUUAAAACGCUGUUCCCAUUCCACCCCCGGCAGCUGUCCUUACUUAGGAAAGAGCCUGCUCAUUUUCAAUUUUCCUUCUGCACCUCUCCUGGGUCUGACGCCAUCACUCAUUUAUUGCAUUUUUUUUAAUCAACAGUUUACUCAGAGUUACAAUCUCUGCUUCCCAGCCCCCAAUUCCAUUGCGUGUUUUCUCUUUUCUUCUUCCUCUGCUUCAUUUUCCUGGAUUUGGAACAACUGUCUGUCCCCCUGAAUGCUGAGUUUGUGUUUCUCAUUAGGAAGCAAGGGGGGGAAUGUUUUUUCCUACUCCAAAGAUUAACUACAGCCUAGUUUUCACAAACAGCAGACGGCAUAGUCAAUCUUUGUCUGGACUGUACUACUUCACAUUGGGAGGGGGGCUCGUGUAACUAAAUGCUUCUCCAUACCCCCCAACUCCCCUUCUUUCCUGAACGCAGAAAACCAGACAUCCGGGAGAAGGGUUUGUAGCCUAAUCAUCUUCCAGAAAGGUUAGUUUUCUGUGUAUCAGACUCCUUUCCAUGGGGAAACAUUUUGUCAUGUUUCCCCACCUCCCCCUGCAUUCUGAAGUGGUUCAUUCCAAAGACUUAGGUUUACUUCCUCGGCUGCUGUUUGCAAAAAUCCCAUGAGUCCCAUUAGCGAAUUGCUCCAUUCGUGAUUUCCCCUUCUCUUUUUAAAUGAAACGUGUAGGCGUGACAAUAUCACAGCUCUCUUAUCGACCCAAAGUGUUACUAUUCUGAGAUUCAACACAGUUGUCAAUUUCCUUAAUGUUUUCAUUCCUUUUUGGCAGGAGGGGGCCGGCCCUACCAUUAGGUAGGCGCAAUGAGGAUGAGGCAGCUGCCUGGGUGGUGUUGGGGAGCAUAGGUGAGGUGUUGCAGGACGGAGCUGUAAGUCAUGGGGACCACCCCCUGUCUCCUAAGUUUACUUGCUACCCUCAGGUAUAGUGUAAGAUCGUGCCCCAUCACUAGGGAUGAAGUAAGAAUCAGCUAUCGGUCCAGUACGGUCCCACCUGCACUAUACAUCUAAAGCAGGAUCAUACUGCUUUUAACUGUAAUGGAACUGUAGUUUCUCACAGGUGCAGAGAAUUGUUAUGAAACACAUUUUCCCCUUCCAGAGCUGCAAUUCCCAGAAUUCCCUGAGACAAGGGAUUGAUUUUACUGUAAAUCCACUCUGGGAAAGGAAUAGGGGUCGCCUAAUUACUCUCAACACCAGGUCAGCAACAUUUUUCAGCAGUGGGCCGGUCCACUGUCCCUCAAACCAUGUGGCGGGCCGGACUAUAUUUUGAAAAAAAAAUUGAACUAAUUCCUGUGCCCCACAAAUAACCCAGAGAUGCAUUUUAAAUAAAAGCACACAUUCUACUCAUGUAAAAACACCAGGCAGGCCCCACAAAUAACCCAGAGAUGCAUUUUAAAUAAAAGGACACAUGCUACUCAUGUAAAACAUGCUGAUUCCUGGACAGUCCACAGGCUGGAUUGAGAAGGUGAUUGGGCCACAUCUGUCCCCUGGGCCUUAGGUUGCCUACCCCUGCUCAACACUCUUAAGAAGCGCUACAGAUUAAACUGAUGGAUGAUGCAGAAAUGGCAAAAUGGGUUGGGCUGUCAUGAUGUGAUCUGUGUUCCUGCUCCCUUUGCUGUCUAAGUGAUUACGGCUGAUAGGCAACUUCACAGCCCCUUCAAAUAGGGGUCAGUCCUCUGUAAAGUAGGACUUAACCUGGAGUUCUCAAGCUAGGAGGGUAUCAGUUUCAUCAUUGUGUCAUGGUAUACGUUGAUAGAACAGUUAUUGUUAAUUAGCUGAAUUUUACAGCCAGUGGGAAGAGUUCUUGCAAUCACUCUCACUGAGUUAACAGUUUUACUUGUCAGUCCUGUUUGGAUAUGAAAAUUGGUUUUUAAACAUGGUUCUGUUUUUUGAUAGAUUGUACCAUGGAAUAUCAACAUUUCUCCAACAUUUCUCUGAUGAAAAUUGAGACAUAAUAGAUGAUGAUCAUCAUCAUUAUAUUUAUGUCCCACACAUCUGAAUGAGUUGCCCCAGCCACUCUGGGCAGCUUCCAACAUAUAUAAAAUAUAGCUGUCAACUUUUCCCUUUUUUUUAAAGGGAAAUUCCCUUAUUCCGGGUAGGAUUCCUCACAAGAAAAAGGAAAAGUUGAGAGCUAUGCUAUAAAAACAUAAUAAAACAUCAAACAUUAAAAAAACAAAACUUCCCUAUACAGGGCUGCCUUCAGAUGUCUUUUAAAGAUUGUAUAGUUACUUAUCUCCUUGGCUCAAGGGUAGCAUAACUCCAUACGCUCCAACAUUUCUCCAACGAAAACAGAGACGUCCUAAGGAAAACUGGGACAUUCUGGGAUCAAAUCAGAAACCGGGACAGCUUCUGUAAAUCUGGGAAAAUAGGGACACUUGGAGGGUUUGCUAUCAUUUUGAUAUUUUGCAUUCAUCCUCACCCUCAUUUUCUUGUUAGCUGCCUUGGGAAGGAAAAACAGGCUGCAAUCUGCAAACAAAAUGGAAAUACAGAAAACUACACUAGCAUACGGCCAGUAGGUUAUCUUGUGAUUUGCUGAACCACAAACCUUGUCAACUUGCUUCCAUUUUGUUAACCAAAUGAUAACCCUGCUUUUAGUUUGGGAUGCUUUGCGCGCUCUCUCUCUCUCUCUCUCUCUCUCUCUCUGGUUUUUUGCUUUUCCUCUCCUGCAAGGAAGUGACUCACUGCUCCCAGCUGGGAGCCACAGAAAUUGGACACUUCCCUUCCAAAAGGCCUCCAUCUUCUUAUGCGCUUCAGGGGACUAUAUAGCAGCUGCACCCCUAUAUAAGACUCUAGAGGGAAAACGGGAAGAAUGUGCAUUUUUUAAAAGGAGAUAUCUUUGUCCUGUUAAAUCAAUGCACUUGGAGUAAAAUGUGUCAUUCCCCCCGCCACAUCUCCAAAAAAAGAAAGAAGCCUGCAAUAAAAUACCACAAAGGCUAAGAGCUGGAACUCCAAAACCAUGCUAUUUUUUGAUUUAACGCUGUCCCAGCUGCCUCCUUGCACAUUCAUGGCAGCUUAUUAUGACACAUCUGGAGGACUGUUGUGAGAGCCGGCCAUUCUGUGACUAAACAGGGGCUUAGCAGGCUGAACCCAUUUACACAAAGAAUAGCAGAGGGUUUGUAUCUGAGCCAGUGAGAUACCUACCCAAGCUUCACGCCAUUAAUUAACAAACGGAACAAGUCAUGUUCAGGCGCACAGGCACACAGGUUGUUGGUAUGCCCUCUUGUGGCAACUGUGACAGUUUCGUAUUUCUUACUGCAGGAAAUACAUGCCACAUUAUAUUACCCAGAAUUCUUAGGACAGGAAGUCAGGUAUGCCUAUGUGGGAAAUGCAGCAAAAUGAAGCCAUGUGUGUUACUAUCCAUGUCGGUGUUGGUACUGAUACUUUAUGUAUAUCAGUGCACUAGAUGCUGUUAGGGUGCUACACUCAAUAUGCCAGCAAGUUUGGAAAACUCAGCAGUGGCCAGAGGAUUGGAGAAGAUCAGUCUACAUCCCAAUCCCAAAGAAGGGAAGUGCCAAAGAAUGAUCCAACUACCGCACAAUUGCACUCAUUUCACACGCUAGCAAGGUUAUGCUUAAAAUUCUACAAGGCAGCCUUAAGCAGUAUGUGGACCGAGAACUCCCAGAAGUGCAAGCUGGAUUUAGAAGAGGCAGAGGAACCAGAGACCAAAUUGCAAACAUGAGCUGGAUUAUGGAGAAAGCUAGAGAGUUCCAGAAAGACAUCUAUUUCUGCUUCAUUGACUAUGCAAAAGCCUUUGACUGUGUCAACCACAGCAAACUAUGGCAAGUUCUUAAAGAAAUGGGAGUGCCUGAUCACCUCAUCUGUCUCCUGAGAAAUCUCUAUGUGGGACAAGAAGCUACAGUUAGAACUGGAUAUGGAACAACUGAUUGGUUCAAAAUUGGGAAAGGAGUACGACAAGGCUGUAUUUUGUCUCCCUGCUUAUUUAACUUAUAUGCAGAAUUCAUCAUGCGAAAGGCUGGGCUGGAUGAAUCCCUAGCCGGAAUUAAGAUUGCCGGAAGAAAUAUCAACAACCUCAGAUAUGCAGAUGACACAACCUUGAUGGCAGAAAGUGAGGAGGAAUUAAAGAACCUUUUAUUGAGGGUGAAAGAGGAGAGCGCAAAAUAUGGUUUGAAGGUCAACAUCAAAAAACGAAGAUCAUGGCCACUGGUCCCAUCACCUCCUGGCAAAUAGAAGGGGAAGAAAUGGAGGCAGUGAGAGAUUUUACUUUCUUGGGCUCCAUGAUCACUGCAGAUGAUGACAGCAGCCACAAAAUUAAGAGACGCCUGCUUCUUGGGAGGAAAGCAAUGACAAACCUAGACAGCAUCUUAAAAGUAGAGACAUCACCUUGCCAACAAAGGUCCGUAUAGUAAAAGCUAUGGUUUUCCCAGUAGUGAUGUAUGGAAGUGAGAGCUGGACCAUAAAGAAGGCUGAUCGCCGAAGAAUUGAUGCUUUUGAAUUAUGGUGCUGGAGGAGACUCUUGAGAGUCCCAUGGACUUCAAGAAGAUCAAACGUAUCCAUUCUUAAGGAAAUCAGCCCUGAGUGCUCACUGGAAGGACAGAUCGUGAAGCUGAGGCUCCAAUACUCUGGCCACCUUAUGAGAAGAGAAGACUCCCUGGAAAAGACCCUGAUGUUGGGAAAGAUUGAGGGCACAAGGAGAAGGGGACGACAGAGGACAAGAUGAUUGGAUAGUGCCUUCGAAGCUACCAGCAUGAGUUUGACCAAACUGCGGGAGGCAGUGGAAGACAGAAGUGCCUGGCGUGCUCUGGUCUAUGGGGUCACGAAGAGUCGGACACGACUAAACGACUAAACAACAACAAAGCGCUACAUGAUAUAGCUUGUGAUUGCCAGGCCACUGGGUCUGGAAAAGAAGGGAUGCACUUUCCUUAGGAAUACAGCUGUGGGGAGGUUUUGAAAGGUUAGGCAUGUAUCCAAUGCACAUCCAACCUGCAUGCUUUAAGUACUCCAUUGGUAUUGCCUCCCUGGAAUUUAUGCAACAGAUUGGAAUUCAGCUAUGCUCACCACUAUACCACCAACGCUAUACAACAGAUUGUAUCAAUGGCUGGUUCUGUAUGGGCCUGAAGUCUGCAGAGUGGGAUUUAUAAUGUGUGCACCAUCACAGUUAGGCUGGAGCUAUAGGCAGCCAUAACCAAAUCCGGACUUGGAAACUGUGUUCUCAGACACAAGAGUUUCUGAGGUUGAGGUAGGGUGUCACUUUUCACAAGGCCUCCGUUGGGAGAUAAUGGAAGAGUGUGCCUUCUGGGGUCAAGCCAAACCGCUGGAGAGUGCCUGCUGUGACCGUAGAGACCAAUACAGUAGAGAGAUGGUUUAUUGCAAGGUGGGGCAAAUGAAGUCAUCUGGUUUUGCUGCUACAGGUACUACAAGUACAAAGAUAAAUUUAGAAAUAAAGAUGCAUCUCAUCACGGUGCAGAGGAGGACUGUGACCAGGUAACCCUUGUUCCUGCUCAGUCUGCUGCCCAGGUGCUCACCACUGAUGGACAAUUUAAAGGCCUGUCCUUUUUACGUACCCUCCGACAUUUUCCCAAUGAAAAGAGGGAUGUUCUAUUCUACACCAGGAAGCUUCUCCCAUGUUUGAUCUUGUCACACACAUAGACGUCAUAUACACAGGUACACCUGUCACCUUGAGCCAAUUACAACCUCUCUGCCUCACCUACCUCACGGGAUGGUUGUAAAGAAAAAAAAUGUGUGACGGAAUGGAUCAUGUACAAGACCUCCCACAGAUAAAUGGAAUGAAAUAAAAUUUUAGCUGUAAGUUGCUUUGAGUCUCUGUCAGGGAGACUCAAAUAAUAGACGAAGAAGAAGAAGAAGAAGAAGAAGAAGAAGAAGAAGAAGAAGAAGAAGAAGAAGAAGAAACUGUGAGAAUGAUCAGGAACAUACCAGACAGUAAAUCAUAUUGAACUCAGUGGGACCUAGUUCUGAGUAAAAAUGCUUCAAAUUGCAGUGUACAGCUGCCCAGUCUUUACCCAGUUACCUGGGAGUAAGCUCCAUUGAAUACAGUGGGACUUCUGAGUAGACAGAGCAAGGCUCCAUUUACAAUAAAGCAGGCAUGUCCAACAGGUAGAUCACUGGACAUCUGUGGUAGAUGACUGGUAUCUCCCCCCAAAGAAGCUAAGAAAGUUUGGCUCCCCUAAAAAAACCUCAAUAUAUUUGCCAGCACCCCUACAACACGUAACUAUCCUCCUCCCUAAAAAAGCUCAACAACUUUUACCUGAAGCCCCCAAAAGGGAGUAGAUCACUGCCAGUUUUUAACUCUGUGAGUAGAUUGGAAUUUGGCCACCCCUGCAAUAAAGGAAUCAAAACUCCCUGUGUUUCCUAAGAAAUGACUAGCCACAGAAACACUGCAAUUAAAGAAUUUAAAGUGGAUUGGUGACCUUUUCCUCCGAAAUUAUAGGAAGGACUUUGUGUGCCAGCUUCACCGUUUCCUUCAUUUGGUGCAGGGAUUAUAUUUUCCAUGUAAACAGGACUCCAUUGUUGCACCUACAAACACAAUCCUCAUCCGUCCUCCAUGCAUCAUCUCAAGUCCACAUCUAACACUUUUGAAUGGUGCUCAAAUCUUCAGAGAACAUGCUCUGGCACUAUUCUGUGUAUGGCUCUCUUCCCAAUGAUGACUUAGAAGAGGAGAGGACUUCUCCAAGAAGACAAUUACAAGUUGAGAGGAAAAUCCUUUCGUAUUACAGGAACUGAUGUCUCUUCCUCCAAAAGAUCCAGACUGUCUGAACACUUGCCAAGUAACAGGUUCUGCCUUUGGGAGGAAGCAAUAUCUUUCUUUAAAAAUAAUCAUGAAAGAAGCUGCUUUCAUUUGAGGAAACACACGUGAGCUUGUCCCUGGCCAACAAGGAGCCUUGGAAAUGAGUGCUGCUCUAAUGAGGCUUUCAUGAGCCCAGAACAUUUCAUUGCUUUCUUGAAGAACAGUCAUCUUUUAAACCAGGGACUGGGAACCUGCGGCACUCCAGUUAUCAGACUCCCCCGCUCCCCAUCAGUCCUAACCAGCAUUGCCAAUAGUAAGAGAUGAUGGGAGUUGAAGGCCAACCAUAUUUGGAGGACCGUAGCUUCCUCAUCUCUGAGCUAAACACAACCAUGUUUUGGAAGAGUCAAAGCAACUGACUGGGUGGAUCUUGGUGCAUCUUAAAAAAAUAUUGUCUGCUCUUUACCACGUGGCAAAUCAAAGUUUCCCUGUGAUUCUGCAGAAUCUUUGAGCUUAUAUGAAUGCCUGUUUUACCACACCUUCUACACGAAUGAGUAGGUGUGAGGUGAAAUUCUCCUCAUUGCUUGGCAGACAGAAUGGAGAAUAAACAACUGAAUGACCCUAAAGUUAGACUGUUCAGCCCCAGGUUAUUCGGACUUUUGUAUGGGCUCAUGAAAGGAGGCUUCAGAGGAGAAGUUUUCUGGAUAAAGCACUGGAAUGGGAUUCUCUUACUAACACAACAAUACUUUUACAAUAAAAGUUCUUGCUUUCUCUAAUUUGAGUUCAAAACCAAACCAAACCUGACUAGGCCUCAUCAAGAUAACAUGUUGGUUCCAUAUUAGCUUGAAAUGACAACUGGGAUAGUUGGAAGUAUGGCUCUGUCCUAUCAUCUAGAAUUGGACAUCACAGCCUUGUUUCCUUCCUCUCACUCCAAAUAGUUUCCGAUUGCCCUGGGACAUCUCCGACCUCUCUGCCUCUUAUUACCGGCCUGACGGAAAGGCAUGUGUUUCAUCUCAGACUUGCAAGAACUUUGUCCCAAAUUGGAGCCAGAGUUGAGCUAUUAGCAUAAAGUUCAUGCAUUUUUGGCUCAUAGGAACGUGGAUGGUGGUAGAAGGAGCCAGAAUGAUUUUAACCAUGAGCAAAGGGUGAGGGAGAGCGAAUUCUACACUCCAUUAGUGAAAAUCCUACUUCAAUCCCAGACUCUAGUAACAAAUCUCUCCUGAGCUUCUGAAAUCUGAAAAGUAAACCCAUUCUGGUUCAUAAUUAUAGCCCACCUUGCACAGAUGCCUCUGAAGUGAUACUGGUAGACUACUGAUGGCUUGAGAUGUAGAUUUCACUUUUAAGAGUGUUAUAUGUUGUACCAAUGAUUUCUCUAAAGUUGGGGUAGCCAGUGGGGUGCCCUCCAAGUCCCAUCAUCCCCAGAGACAAUGAGAUUUGUACUAUAGCAACAUCUGGAGGGCUACUUAUUGGCUAUCCUUGUACUAAGUUUUCAGAGAGAGAUGAACUUCUCAUAAUAUGAGCAGAUAAAUCAAUGUGGGGGGAAACCAUCACUUGCUUUGUUGUGGUUGCUACAAGGUCAACCACUGGGAAAUAUUCCUCAAGCAAUCUUUUCUUAGCAACAGUAGCAGCAAUACAGGAAGGUGAACAGGAAGCACCUUGAACAAGAGGCACUCUGACAAAAAUAGUAACCUAGUUCUUCUUGAAACCCAUGGGAGAUGGGAGAUGUCCAGGGGGCAUCAAAAACCUGGAUCUGUCACUGUAUUGUAAAAGGAAGGAAGUGGGUCUUAGUCAACCUACUGCUCUUGAAUACGGAUUAUUGGUGGUUGCAUGGAAUGGUCCAGAUGAGCAACUUGUUCUUCAUACAGUUGAGUAGGAUGAUGUCACAAUGAUAGCCAUAUAAGAGGAUCUGACCAACACAAUGCUGUUACUGAGAGCAACAUGAAUGAAGAUGCACAUCUGUUUUCACAAAUAGCUGGAAAAACAGCUGGAAAUGGAAAGUGUUUGGGGCCAUCACUGAAAAUGUUCACAGAGUUCUGUGAAUUCAUUUGACAGCCUGAAACGAUGGACUCCUCAAACCCAUCAGGGACGAGUGUAGGACAUUUAAUGGAGGUAGUGGGUGGGUUGAAAGAGGAGAUGAAGCUUACUGCUUUUCCCACUCCUUAACAAAUAAAAGCAAUAGUACAAAAGCAUAUGCAAAUUGAUUUGGUAUCUGUUGUUUCUUUUACAGAGUUAAAGAGAGGGAGGGUUUGGAGCCUGCUAAGAGUCUUCUGCUUGCAUUCCAGACACUGCUGUUGAUAGACAGCUAGCAAUAUAUUCCUUUUUAUUUCCAAUAUAACCUUCUCUCUGCUGGACAGGAAUGCUGACUGGCUGAUGAAGGAAGGUGCUUUCAUGGUUACUGUUUUCAUGGAGACCCUAUAUCACUGCAAAUUUCUCAAACAGACUUUGAUGUUAACCAGAACCUUGAAGAUUGUCUGCAGCAGAUGCUGCUCAGCUAUAAGCUACCAGUAGGAUUCUGUGCUGAGGAUCACUACGUGUGCCCCACCAAGCUGCUAUCCCAAAUAGAACAUAGGUAGCAGGUUUGCCAGUCCUCUUCAGACUGAGGGCAGAAUGCAGGGUGAGACCAGGAGCCAAAGGGCAGAGCAGAGACUGGUGUCACUUGAUGAGCUUGUUUUCAUUGAUAUCUCAGGGCUCUCCUUCUUACUGGUCUCCAGUGCAGAAUCAUUCCCCUGGUUUUUGUAUGCUUUAAAAAACAGAUUUAUUAUGGUGGGUUUUGACUCUUGGUUUAUUUGGGGUUGUGUUCAGCUUAGGGUUAGGAAUGGUGCAAUUUUUCUAGAAAAAGAGGUGCCAGAGCUCACCACGAAUUUCUCCCUUGUUCUAUUAGAAUGGCAAUGGCGCCCACCUGAGAGGUGCUGGAGCUGAGCUCCUGUGAGCUCUGGCUGGGGGGAAAAAGAAGUCCUGGUUAGGCAGAUCAUCCCAUCAACACAAGGAAUUCUCCUUGCGUAAUGGAACAGUCUCCUCCUCUCCUCCCUCACCAUGUACCCCCUAAAUCUGAGUUCCCCAAAUCAUCCUGAACAGAUUUGGGUAGUGCAUGGGGAAUGCACGGGGCGCAAAGGGGGAAAUCCCAUUGUGUUAAUCCUUGCGCUAGGACAACUAUUUAGUUAAAUAUCACCCUUGAUGUUUACCUCUUGGUGACUUUUUCCAAGAAAGAAAGGCCAGAAAAACAUGCUCAAAAUCAGGGAAAGAUGCCUUGGCAGUGGAAAAAUAGCUUUCUCCUUGCUUCUCCCUCCCAAGAUCUGCAGUGUUCACUGCCAGAAGCAGAAUUUGUCCAAAUAACAGUUGCUAGGAAUCACAAGUGGGGAGGGUAUGUUGACUCUGGUCCUGUCUGCAGAGGCAUCUGGUUGGCCAUGGUGAGAACAGGGUUCUGGACUAGACGCGCCUUUGGUCUGAUCCAGCAGGGCUCUUCUUAACAACUGUGGACAUGGGAAACUCCUGUGCUUGCUUGUGGGGGCUGCCUGCCCGUUAAAAGUGCUCUGUUCUGCGCCAAGCGAAGGGGCUUCUGACAGCAAAGUAAACGGUGUCAGGCUGAGUUUACACAGCACCAAAUCAGCGGCUCUUUAGUAUGUUUAUCAUUUCCUUCCCACUGAGUUAGCAGAGAGUCACUGAACCAUGGGAGAUCCUCUUCACACUUCAUAUACAGAAAUGCUCAGCUUUUGCUAUGCCAUUCGCCUCCUUUGAUUGAAUCCAGGAGGGCAGAGCAGCCGGAUUAGGGCAACCCAGUGUCAGAGGCGAGAUUUGGGAAAUGAUUUUGCAGAAACCCCCAACUCAACAGAUUAGACUCAGCAAGAGGAUUGGAGGGGCCGAUCAAUUAUGGAUACAAUACUGUAAUAAUAGAAUAAUUUAAUUUAUAUGCUGUUUACAUGCCGAAAAGGCUUAUAAAGCAGUUCUACAUUCCCCUGUCUUCAGAUCCAGGUCUCGUUUUUGUUACAAUUUAGGGCACCCUUCCUCAACUAGGUGCCCUCCUGAUGUUUUGGGACUCCAGUUCCCAUAGUCCCAACCAGCAUUGCUAAUCUUAGGGAUACUAGGAGCUGGAGUCCAAACCAUCUGAAGGGCAGUAGAUUGUGAGAAGCAGGCAGCAUCAGUUGACAGGCUGACAUCCAAAUGUGGCUGGUGAAGCAACUCAUUUUAGGUUAUUGUGCCUAUUGGCCUAUCCUAAAUGAAUCAUUAUCUAUUGUUCUGACAUCCACAUGACACUUUACAAAGAGCAGGUAUGACAUACUCUCCUCCAAAGAGGCUUACAAUCUGAAAACAAACACAGGGAAACCAUAGAAGAGGCGUCCUCCAGAUGAUGUUGGACUACAACACCCAUCACCUCUGGCCAUGCUGGCUGGGGCUGAUGGGUGUUGUAAUCCAACAACAUCUGGAGAGCCCAACAUCGACUACCCCUGAGAGAUGAAAUGGGAAAUGGAGACAUGGGUAGGCAGGAGAGGUGGUUAUUUCAAUUACCCAUCCUUUGGCUUAGUUACAGCAAGGUACAAGGGCUAAGGGGAAUGGCCCAAAGCCUUCCUGGAAAAGAUGAGCUUUAGGAGGAGCUUAAAAGGAAAUAGGGGGGUCAUAUCAAGAGAUCUGGGAGACAGGUCUAGGCAUAAGGGGCAGCAAUGGGAAACGGGUGGGGGUCAUUUCAGGGAGUAAGACUCAGGAUUUCCCAUAUUUGUCUAUCAUUGAAAACAGAAGAAUGGAUUUUGGUACCCUCCCUGUAAUGUCCCUCAUGAAUCAUUGAUUUGGGGUUGAUGGUUUGGCUUAGUUUUCUUUUUACUGUUUCAAUUAUGUUUUUUUUAUGCUAUAACUUGCCCUGGACCUUUUUUGUGAAGGUCACGUAAGAAAUACAAAUAAUAGCAACAAAAAUAAACAAAUGACACACCUCCUCCCAAUAUCAGCUUGAAGACCGUGGCUCAGUUUGCCUUCCAAGACUUGCGAAGGGACCUUGGAACAAUUUCAGCGUUUCAACCUGAGGUACUGCUUUCUAAAUUGUUAAGAAAUUUCUUGUUGUGCCAUAAAACUUUCACAGGCUAGAGUCCGCUUCCUCAGAUGAACGAAGUAAGCACCCCAAUUUGGGAAAACGCCUGGCUGAAGCAGACUCUCAAGCCCAUGCCGUGAUACACGUGCAAGUCUUUGAGGUGUCACAAGACUCUUUGUUGUUACUGCUGCUGCGGUAGAAUAACACGGCUACUACCCCUCUGGAAAUUCGAAAUUGUCAGCCUUGACUGAUGGGGGAAUCUGGGAGGCUGUACACAGAACACGACAGAAGAACUUGUUUGCAACAGACCCCGGUGGCGGGAGCACGACUGUUCUGACAUCCAGUUGGCUGCAACAAGCCAGGUUUGCUUGGCCUUGUACUCUGAUUUAAUAAACUCUGAAAGGGUUGGG